GAUGAAGAACGCAGCGAAAUGCGAUAAGUAAUGUGAAUUGCAGAAUUCAGUGAAUCAUCGAAUCUUUGAACGCACAUUGCGCCCCUUGGUAUUCCGGAGGGCAUGCCUGUCCGAGCGUCAUUAUCCCCCCUCAAGCCCUAGCUUGGUGUUGGACCUGUGGUCAUUUCUGACCGGUCCCAAAGAUAAUGAUGGCGUCCCCGGGACUCCUCGGUGCAAUGAGUUACCACGUAACACGCACCGCAGGCUGCCCGGAGACCUGUCCUUCAACCUCAUUUUUUCCAGGUUGACCUCGGAUCAGGUAGGGAUACCCGCUGAACUUAAGCAUAUCAAUAAGCGGAGGA
rnacentral:misc_RNA from 1 species